UACGGGGGGGGCAAGCGUUGUUCGGAAUUACUGGGCGUAAAGGGCUCGUAGGCGGCCAACUAAGUCAGACGUGAAAUCCCUCGGCUUAACCGGGGAACUGCGUCUGAUACUGGAUGGCUUGAGAUUGGGAGAGGGAUGCGGAAUUCCAGGUGUAGCGGUGAAAUGCGUAGACAUCUGGAGGAACACCGGUGGCGAAGGCGGCAUCCUGGACCAACACUGACGCUGAGUGAGCGAAAGCCAGGGGAGCAAACGGG
rnacentral:rRNA from 1 species